rnacentral:rRNA from 1 species
UACGAAGGGGGCUAGCGUUGCUCGGAAUUACUGGGCGUAAAGCGCACGUAGGCGGCUUUCUAAGUCGGGGGUGAAAUCCUGGAGCUCAACUCCAGAACUGCCCUCGAUACUGGAGCUUGAGUCCGGGAGAGGUGAGUGGAACUGCGAGUGUAGAGGUGAAAUUCGUAGAUAUUCGCAAGAACACCAGUGGCGAAGGCGGCUCACUGGCCCGGUACUGACGCUGAGGUGCGAAAGCGUGGGGAGCAAACAGG